rnacentral:rRNA from 1 species
AGAGUUUGAUCCUGGCUCAGAAUGAACGUUGGCGGCGUGGAUUAGGCAUGCAAGUCGGACGAGAAUCUCCCGCAAGGGAGAGGACAGUGGCAAACGGAGUAGUAAGGCGUAGGCGACGUACCCCCCGGNACCGGGAUAGCCAAGGGAAACCUUGGGUAAUACCGGAUGAUCUCUGCGAGCAUGAUCGCUUGCCGAGCAAAGGUGUGAUUCCACCAGGGGAGCGGCUUACGUAGUAUUAGCUAGUUGGUGAGGUAACGGCUCACCAAGGCGAUGAUGCUUAGGGGAUGUGAGAGCAUGAUCCCCACUACUGGGACUGAGAUACUGCCCAGACACUUACGGGUGGCUGCAGUCGAGAAUCUUCGGCAAUGGGCGCAAGCCUGACCGAGCGACGCCGCGUGCGGGAUGAAGGCCCUUGGGUUGUAAACCGCUGUCAGAGGGGAUGAAGUGCCGGUGAGCUAUCUCAUCGGUUUGACAUAGCCUCAGAGGAAGCACGGGCUAAGUUCGUGCCAGCAGCCGCGGUAAUACGAACUGUGCAAACGUUAUUCGGAAUCACUGGGCUUANAGGGUGCGUAGGCGGUCAUUUAGGUAGGGUGUGAAAGCCCCCGGCUCAACCGGGGAAUUGCGCCCUAAACCGGGUGACUGGAGUGAGAUANGGGUGUG